rnacentral:rRNA from 1 species
GUGCAGGCGCAGCUGAUCAGCCAUGCCGCGUGCAUGAUGAAGGCCUUCGGGUUGUAAACUGCUUUUGUACGGAACGAAACGGUCUGGGUUAAUACCCUGGGCUAAUGACGGUACCGUAAGAAUAAGCACCGGCUAACUACGUGCCACCAGCCGCGAUAAUA